ACGCUCGACACCUACGGGAGGCAGCAGUGGGGGAUAUUGCACAAUGGGGGGAACCCUGAUGCAGCGACGCCGCGUGAGGGAAGAAGGUUUUCGGAUUGUAAACCUCUGUCCUCAGGGAAGAAGAUGACGGUACCUGAGGAGGAAGCCACGGCUAACUACGUGCCAACAGCCGCGGUAAUCUGAGCGGGCUGGCAAGGC
rnacentral:rRNA from 1 species